ACGGGAGGCAGCAGUGGGGGAUAUUGCACAAUGGGGGAAACCCUGAUGCAGCGACGCCGCGUGAGUGAUGAAGUAUUUCGGUAUGUAAAGCUCUAUCAGCAGGAAAGAUAAUGACGGUACCUGACUAAGAAGCACCGGCUAAAUACGUGCCAGCAGCCGCGGUAAUACGUAUGGUGCAAGCGUUAUCCGGAUUUACUGGGUGUAAAGGGAGCGCAGGCGGUACGGCAAGUCUGAUGUGAAAGCCCGGGGCCCAACCCCGGUACUGCAUUGGAAACUGUCGAACUAGAGUGUCGGAGGGGUAAGUGGAAUUCCUAGUGUAGCGGUGAAAUGCGUAGAUAUUAGGAGGAACACCAGUGGCGAAGGCGGCUUACUGGACGACAACUGACGCUGAGGCUCGAAAGCGUGGGGAGCAAACAGGAUUAGAUACCCUGGUA
rnacentral:rRNA from 1 species